CUGCCUCAAUAAAGUUACAAAAACAGUUUAUCUCCAAUAAUCAGGAAGCACAACUUCCCUUAAAAAAAAGAUUUGAAGUGAAUUAUGUCAUUGUUCCCUGUCCUUGGAGGAGCACAGGCUGAUCUUCAGAUACGGGAGGAAAAGCCAGCAACACCACAUAUUCUCACAUCUGAUAGUCAUGGAGGCCAUGACUGAUUCUGACAGCAGGGUGUAGACAGACAACAUUUUUUCAGGGGGCAAUACUGAUGUGCAUACCACUCCUGACUGUAAAGGCAAAUUAUGACACCCUGGCCCAGGAAGAGAGAGGUCCACAUGAUCACAUUCCAAAUGGGCCCUUUCCGACGGUCAUUAAGAAUGAAGUUGAAAACCACUGGAAGAGGAAAUAGAAAGUCAUCAAGAUGCGCUAUUCAGGACAUCUGCAAGCUCAGGUUUUAACCCACAUUAAGAGCCAAUAAGUCUCUUGAAUUCUCCUUUCAGUUCCACUAAAUUAGUCUGAUCAUUGGUCUGCUUUCCAUCUCCACCUUACUGAUGACACAUUAUGGGAAAAGUCCAUACAGCACAGGAAAGCAUGCUCAUUAUCUUCUUCCACAAGUGAUAUGUAUCACAUUGGCAGGUUUAUUCUCUAUAAGACUACCAGGUCCAUCUGGCAGCCUCAGUUUAGAACGGGAGUGGUAGUGUGCUACAGCAGAGGAGUGAAGAACACUGGCAGAGCAUGGGGUGGGAGGAAGCUGUGAACAUCUGCACUGUGCCUAACAAUUACCACCCACAAAGUAAACACGUUUGCACUCUUGCUCCCCCAAAAAGAGGCAGGGAAAAGGGAAGAUGCCAUCCUCCAACUCAAUGCUGGAAGGCUACACCUAUACACAUCAGUCACUGUAGCAAGAUUAAAAACUGAGCAACUACUCCCUCAGGCUAUGGCUUUAAAAAUAAAAAUAUUGGCUACUAGGCCGAAGCGUGGUAACUCAUCCUUAAGGGGCUAGCCAAAGGGAAAAGUUAUGUUAUAAAUUCACUGCCCAGUUUUAUAUACAUUAACUUGGUAUGUUUUAUAUGCAUGGGAAUAUGUAUAUGGCUAGUUGUAUAGCAACAGGAGC